CCUACGGGAGGCAGCAGUGGGGAAUUUUGGACAAUGGGCGAAAGCCUGAUCCAGCCAUUCCGCGUGAGUGAAGAAGGCCUUCGGGUUGUAAAGCUCUUUCGCAAGGGAAGAAAACUUAGAUACUAAUAUUAUCUGAGGUUGACGGUACCUUGAUAAGAAGCACCGGCUAACUACGUGCCAGCAGCCGCGGUAAUACGUAGGGUGCGAGCGUUAAUCGGAAUUACUGGGCGUAAAGCGUGCGCAGGCGGUUUUGUAAGUCAGAUGUGAAAUCCCCGAGCUCAACUUGGGAACUGCGUUUGAAACUACAAGACUAGAAUAUGUCAGAGGGGGGUAGAAUUCCACGUGUAGCAGUGAAAUGCGUAGAGAUGUGGAGGAAUACCAAUGGCGAAGGCAGCCCCCUGGGAUAAUAUUGACGCUCAUGCACGAAAGCGUGGGGAGCAAACAGGAUUAGAUACCCUGGUAGUCCACGCCCUAAACGAUGUCUACUAGUUGUUGGUGGAGUAAAAUCCAUGAGUAACGCAGCUAACGCGUGAAGUAGACCGCCUGGGGAGUACGGUCGCAAGAUUAAAACUCAAAGGAAUUGACGGCUGAGAGNGCGACGACGACGACGAGGGAGGAGG
rnacentral:rRNA from 1 species